ACUGAGGCAGAGGCACGUGGGCCCACUUGGGUCUGGAGCACUGCUUGAUUUGGCCAGGGCCAGGCUGGGACAUCCCUCUACAGUAACUCCAGGGAUGUCAAGUAGGACUUUACUAGCCCUUGCCGAGCCAAUGGGGUCCCUUCACUGGAAUGAGAUUCUUCCCUACAGUGAGAUGGGGCAGGGCCCUUAAGGGCCAUCUCUCCCCAAGUGUCACCUCCUCCCUUCCAUGUGGGUUCCUGCACUUUGCCAUGUCCCCAGUGCCUCCAUGUCACAUGGCUGGGCUGCACAGCACAUUGCCUGCAUCCCACACUUCGCAGUGUCUGCCAGCAAUCACUCAACAAUUUGCUGGAUCUUCAUGGAGUAUCAAGCAAGGUAAAUGUGCCUGGAUGGUGCCCUGCCACACUGCCCCCACCUCCUGGUUAGAGUGGCCCGCGGACGUUCCUCUGGGAGGCCAUCUCAAGCCGAGGAUGACAGAGCUGGGGACCUUAGAGGCAGACAGCUCUAUUGGAGAUGGGUGGAUGCUAUGGCCUAAACCCUAGUCCUGCCAUGGCCAAGUGAAAUCUGGCAGGAUGGAGGUAGCCUUCUCCCAUGCAUCCCCAUGUGUAAGUUCAUUCAUUCAAGUAUUUAUUGCUAUGCGCUGGCACUGUGCUGGAAGCAUGAUCACCUCUGAAAAUAAAACCGAUCGUUCAGCUUACAGAUUCAUGUGGGUCAUGGGAGAGACGAGUAAUAAAAUGAGUAAAAUAUCCAAAAUUUUGAGGUUGGGGAUUUAGCUCAGCGGCACCGUGCCUGCCUUGCAAGUGCUAGGUCCUGAGUUCGAUCUCCAGUAUGAAAAAAAAGAAAAUCUAGAUCAGAGAGAAAAGCAAGACAAAGAAGAAAGAAAGCACUGAGGUGAGGUGUGAUUUUUCCAUGGAAUGGCCAGGGAAAAUGACCUGAGAAUGACCUUUGGCAAAGACCUGGAGCAAGUGAGGAAAUGAGUCCCUGGAGAUAUCUAUAGGAAGAGCAUUCUAGGCAGGAAGAGCAGCACAUACAAAGGUCCUGAGGCAGGGUUAUGCCUACUUAAAGAGCAGUGGACUAGAACCAAGUCGGUGU
rnacentral:lncRNA from 1 species